UACGAAGGGGGCUAGCGUUGCUCGGAAUCACUGGGCGUAAAGCGCACGUAGGCGGCUUCUUAAGUCAGGGGUGAAAUCCUGGAGCUCAACUCCAGAACUGCCUUUGAUACUGAGGAGCUUGAGUCCGGGAGAGGUGAGUGGAACUGCGAGUGUAGAGGUGAAAUUCGUAGAUAUUCGCAAGAACACCAGUGGCGAAGGCGGCUCACUGGCCCGGUACUGACGCUGAGGUGCGAAAGCGUGGGGAGCAACAGG
rnacentral:rRNA from 1 species